CUCAUGUAUAACCUCACAUCCUGGCACACUGACCUUGCUGAGCACCUAGAGAGUUGGAUGGUGAUGGGGAACACAUCUCUCUUCUUGGUCCUGUGACCUUCUCAGGGUGCUAGAAGCCUUCACUUCCAGCCCACUUAGGCAAGGCUAUGUGACUAGUUCUGGACCAGGAGGUGGAGUACAAGUGACACAGGGAACAGCUGCUUUCCAGUUCUCUCUGCUCCUCCAUUCUCUGCUGCAACCACAAAGGAGAUACUGAGGUCGGAAGAGCACACUGAAUUGCUGAGUCACCACCUGGAGGACAGUAGCUCUGAUGAAUUGCCUGGACACGUAGCAGUUUUUGUGUGAAAAAAGAUGAUGGAGUGCAAAUCUAGUGGAAAAAUCUCUAGCUUAGGAGUUGGACGCCAGGACUCUUCAUUAUGUCUCCAACAAGCUAGUUAACCUUGGACAAGUCGCUUCACACCUGUGGUCCUCAACACCUUCAUCUUCAAAACGAGGGGAUCGGUCCUCAGAUGAUUGCUAAAAUCCUGACCAUUAACUUUAAAGACUCUUUGGGGAAGGAACUGGUAAAUUUUUGGUUUGUUUUCAAAGGUGAAGUAACAUUUCUGAAAUUUUAAUAUUCAGAUACA